UACAGAGGUCCCAAGCGUUGUUCGGAUUUACUGGGCGUAAAGGGCGCGUAGGCGGCGUGACAAGUCACUUGUGAAAUCUCCGGGCUUAACUCGGAACGGUCAAGUGAUACUGUCAUGCUAGAGUACAGAAGGGGCAACUGGAAUUCUCGGUGUAGCGGUGAAAUGCGUAGAUAUCGAGAGGAACACCUGCGGCGAAGGCGGGUUGCUGGGCUGAUACUGACGCCGAGGCGCGAAAGCCAGGGGAGCGAACGGG
rnacentral:rRNA from 1 species